ACCCUUGGUCAGGUUGAAGUUCAGGUAACACUGAAUGGAGGACCGAACCGACUUACGUUGAAAAGUGAGCGGAUGAACUGAGGGUAGCGGAGAAAUUCCAAUCGAACCUGGAGAUAGCUGGUUCUCUCCGAAAUAGCUUUAGGGCUAGCCUCAAGUGAUGAUUAUUGGAGGUAGAGCACUGUUUGGACGAGGGGCCCCUCUCGGGUUACCGAAUUCAGACAAACUCCGAAUGCCAAUUAAUUUAACUUGGGAGUCAGAACAUGGGUGAUAAGGUCCGUGUUCGAAAGGGAAACAGCCCAGACCACCAGCUAAGGUCCCAAAAUAUAUGUUAAGUGGAAAAGGAUGUGGCGUUGCCCAGACAACUAGGAUGUUGGCUUAGAAG
rnacentral:rRNA from 1 species